UACAGAGGUCUCAAGCGUUGUUCGGAUUCAUUGGGCGUAAAGGGUGCGUAGGUGGCGCCGUAAGUCGGGUGUGAAAUCUCGGGGCUUAACUCCGAAACUGCAUUCGAUACUGCGGUGCUUGAGGACUGGAGAGGAGACUGGAAUUCAUGGUGUAGCAGUGAAAUGCGUAGAUAUCGUAAGGAAGACCAGUGGCGAAGGCGGGUCUCUGGACAGUUCCUGACGCUGAGGCACGAAGGCCAGGGGAGCAAACGGG
rnacentral:rRNA from 1 species